rnacentral:ncRNA from 2 species
AUCAAACAUUCGGGAAUAGGUGCGAAAGCAUAAUAGAGAAGCCAGUUAAAGUCUGGCACGGUCCCGCCACUGUAAAGCAGAGCAAAUCCAAUUAUGUCACUGGGAAACUGGGAAGGCUGGAGGAGCGUUGAAGCUGAGUCAGGAGAACUGCCUAUUCAUCAUUCACCAC